GCAGCCGCGGUAAUACGUAUGGAGCAAGCGUUAUCCGGAUUUAUUGGGUGUAAAGAGUUCGUAGGCGGACUAGCAAGUUGGUUGUGAAAUCCCCAGGCUUAACUUGGGAACUGCAACCAAAACUAUUGGUCUUGAGUACUGGAGGGGAAAGCGGAAUUCCUAGUGUAGCGGUGAAAUGCGUAGAUAUUAGGAAGAACACCGGUGGCGAAGGCGGCUUUCUGGACAGAAACUGACGCUGAGGAACGAAAGUGUGGGGAGCAAACAGGAUUAGAUACCCC
rnacentral:rRNA from 1 species